AGAGCGAACGCUGGCGGCAGGCCUAACACAUGCAAGUCGAGCGCGUGUAGCAAUACACGAGCGGCAGACGGGAGAGUAACACGUGGGAACGCGCCCUUCGGUUCGGAAUAACUCAGGGAAACUUGAGCUAAUACCGGAUACGCCCUUACGGGGAAAGAUUUAUUGCCGAAGGAACGGCCCGCGUCCGAUUAGCUUGUUGGUGAGGUAACGGCUCACCAAGGCGACGAUCGGUAGCUGGUCUGAGAGGAUGACCAGCCUCACUGGGACUGAGACACGGCCCAGACUCCUACGGGAGGCAGCAGUGGGGAAUAUUGGACAAUGGGCGCAAGCCUGAUCCAGCCAUGCCGCGUGGAUGAUGAAGGCCCUAGGGUUGUAAAGUCCUUUUAACGGGGAAGAUAAUGACGGUACCCGUAGAAUAAGCCCCGGCUAACUUCGUGCCAGCAGCCGC
rnacentral:rRNA from 1 species